UACGUAGGGUGCAAGCGUUAAUCGGAAUUACUGGGCGUAAAGCGUGCGCAGGCGGCUUUGCAAGACAGAUGUGAAAUCCCCGGGCUUAACCUGGGAACUGCAUUUGUGACUGCAUGGCUGGAGUGCGGCAGAGGGGGAUGGAAUUCCGCGUGUAGCAGUGAAAUGCGUAGAUAUGCGGAGGAACACCGAUGGCGAAGGCAAUCCCCUGGGCCUGCACUGACGCUCAUGCACGAAAGCGUGGGUAGCAAACAGG
rnacentral:rRNA from 1 species